GCAUAGACAUUGUAGUGAAGACAAGAGAUAGAAAGAGACGAACUUGUUCAACGUUGUGGUCAGCAGCAUUGUAGGUCACAAGAUCUUCAAUGUAAUCAAUGCUUGCCAAAUGAAACACUCGCAUAAGAACACAAGAAACUAUCUACAAAGCAGAGAUUCAAACAAGCUUCGUCUUUUGUUUGAGGAGAUCGAUAGCCAGAGAGAACUGAAGAGACGCUAUCAGGAAAUUCAUAAGAGAAUCAACGAAUAAGGAAAAUCACUGGAGAGACCAUAAAAUCAAUAACACUUAUGAAUAAUCAUGCUUUAAGGGAGCGAGAGAGAUUACAUGAGCACUAGGAGAAGAUACAGAGACAAGAGCAUAUGUAGAUGUUUAAUUGGAGGAGAUAUACAAGAGAGGAGAGAUUUCAAAGUGGAGAGUCGAAGAAGUGAGCCACCAUAGUUGUGUGAGAGAGAGGAGAGAUUCGGAAUUGGAGCCGACUAAGGCCAAGCUUCUCGGCGUUGAUUUCUCAUCCGUCUUUUUUUAUCUAAGGAUUGAGAAGAAAAAUAUUGAGAAAAAGUAAAAGGGAUUAGGGUUUGGUAUUGAGAGAAGAAGAAAUAGAUAUGAAACAAUUGAGAGAAAAAUUGGCUGUGAAUUUCGAGAGUUUGGGAGAGUGAAAUAAUUUUUGCUAAGUCUUUCCUCGGAAAUGAAAUAAUUUUUCCGCCUAGAUUAAACACAUCGUUUUAACGAUACACAUGCUAUCUAAAACAAAGUUUUAGAAUCCGAAAAAACAAAGAUAGCAUU
rnacentral:lncRNA from 1 species